rnacentral:sRNA from 1 species
GCUAGGCAUGGUGGCACAUGCCUGUAGUCCCAGCUACUCGGGAGGCUGAGGUGGGAGGAUUGUUUGAGUCCAGGAGUUCUAGGCUGCAGUGAGCUAUGCUGGUCUGGUGUCCGCACUAAGUUCAGCAUCAAUAUGGUGACCUCCCAAGAGUCGGGGACAACCAGGUGGCCUAAGGAGGGCUGAACCAGCCUAAAUCAAAAAGGCUAUCUCAAGCUGGGCAUGGUGAAGCAUGCCUUUAAUCCCAGUACUCAGGAGGCAGAGGUAGGGGCAAGCAUUUUAAUCACUGAGCCAUUAAAGCACUUCUCACAUUA